UACGUAGGCAGCAAGCGUUGUUCGGAAUUACUGGGCGUAAAGAGUGCGUAGGCGGUCCUCUAAGUUUGGUGUGAAAUCUCCCGGCUCAACCGGGAGGGUGCGGCGGAAACUGGAGGGCUCGAGUGUGGGAGAGGUAAGCGGAAUUCCUGGUGUAGCGGUGAAAUGCGUAGAUAUCAGGAGGAACACCUGCGGUGUAGACAGCUUACUGGACCAUUUCUGACGCUGAGGCACGAAAGCGUGGGUAGCAAACAGG
rnacentral:rRNA from 1 species